UGGACUGAAGAGGUCACCGUCAGCCGCUAUCCCCGUUCUCCACUUUACUUCCUAGGUCUCGUCCUUGGCACAUGUGCCUUGGUCGGUCCUGCAUCAAAAUGAAGAUCAUUACCAUCACCAUCACCCUUGCUCUUUUGAGUGCAGUUCUCCAUGGAGGCAAUGGACUGAGGUGUUUCAAGGAAACCUGCAAGAAAGGUGAUCCUUAAAAAAUAGAAGAGGAGAUCUGUGAUCAGGAAAAGCCACAGUGCUAACUAUGAGGAUCUGAAGAAGAAUUAAAAGAUCCCAACCAGAGCACGAUUACCAAAGGUUGCGUCAAAAAUGGGCAUGAUGAUCCCUUGCUGAAGGUGAUGAUGAUGGCUUUCGUGCCUAACUGGAAGGUACACUGCUGUAAGGAGGACCUGUGCAACGGUGCCAAGCAUGUGGGAGGAAGUAUCCUGCUUCUGUUGGGGUCUGUCGUCUCCGUCCUGCUCGUCUACUUCCACUGAAGUCCCUCACAGGAUCUCCCAGCAACACCUGCCCUCCUCUGUCUAGUCAUGAAGGGUUGGAUUGUCAGGCCCCUACUUUUCUUGUAUUCCUUUGUGUUUAUGACAGCACUACUG